UUGAUGUGUACUGCUCGCCCAUGA
rnacentral:siRNA from 1 species